CAGUAGCCGCGGUAAAACGGAGGGUGCAAGCGUUAAUCGGAAUUACUGGGCGUAAAGCGUGCGUAGGCGGUGAGUUAAGUCUGCUGUGAAAUCCCCGGGCUCAACCUGGGAAUGGCAGUGGAUACUGGCUCGCUAGAGUGUGUCAGAGGAUGGUGGAAUUCCCGGUGUAGCGGUGAAAUGCGUAGAGAUCGGGGGGAACAUCAGUGGCGAAGGCGGCCAUCUGGGACAACACUGACGCUGAGGCACGAAAGCCAGGGGAGCGAACGGGAUUAGAUACCCCAGUAGUCCCUGUCUCUUAUAA
rnacentral:rRNA from 1 species